AAGUCGUAACAAGGUUUCCGUAGGUGAACCUGCGGAAGGAUCAUUAUUGAAUAAACUUGGUUGGGUUGUUGCUGGCUUUCAGGAGCAUGUGCACGCUCAUUCCAUCUUUUUUAACCACCUGUGCACCCACUGUAGGCUUGAAAUGAACCUUUCGAGGAAACUCGGUUUGAGAACUGUUAGAAGCUGUUCUUACAUUUCAGGUCUAUGUUUUUAAACAUAUACUCCAUAAACAAGUCAAGGAAUGUUAAUUAUUGGCCUCAUGUGCCUUUAAACCUAAUACAACUUUCAACAACGGAUCUCUUGGCUCUC
rnacentral:misc_RNA from 1 species